rnacentral:lncRNA from 1 species
GAAUCGGGCACGAAAGACAAGACUUUCUUGAGCACAAGGUCCCUCGGAACACACGAGGCUUGACCUUCUUAUCGCGUGCUUUCUUCACUCUCUGCUGAUAUAACUGACCAUGACAUCAUGGCAGUUGAUCUCUUCUUUUCGAUCGAAUUCAGCAUCAGUCAACUUGGGACUUUGAGGGUGCUAUUUUUUUUCUUUUGUUUUUCCUUUCUUUUUCUUUCUUUUGAUUUUCUUUUGAUUUCUUUUGAUUUUUUUUUGUUUUGAUUUUGCACCCUCCUCUUUCUUCUUCUUUUUUCUUUUUCUCUCUUUUUUUUUUUUGAUGCCCCAGUUGGCUGUUCUGCUGAUUCUCGAGAUGCAGCUGAGUGAUCUUCUUUUCUUGCUCAAGAAGUCGGGAAAUCUCGUCAGGAAUCCCUUCAACAUCAU